CAGAGAAAUUCACUUCCUAGUAUGUAAGAAAAUUUAAAACAGGAAGAUAGAAAUGAUGUUUCACUAAAGCCUACAAUCAUUGUUCCAAUUUCUAAGUACUAAAGGUAAACAAAAUAUGUUGGAAAAUGGAGAUUUAUUAUCAUGAUUUAAAGGAAACAAAUUACACUCCCAAAUAUUCUGAGUAAAUUUUUGUUUUUUAAAGCUGCCUAGUAACGAAUUUCUACUUGUUUACAGAUUGAGAAGAACACCUAUUUCCACAUGACCAGAGUAACUUGUCAUCUUUUAUCUUUUUUCUGCAUUUAUAUGAACCUGUGUGAACCUACAAUUUAUAUUUCCUUUUGACCCCAAAGAAGACAGAUAAAUUCCUCCUGUCUUCAGGGACCACUUCAUGUUUCAUGCUCUCAGUGGAAUUUGUCUUCUACUCAUCACCCAGAAAGAUCUACUAUUUAACUUUUUAUCCAUGGGAGUUAUCCCUAUGACUUUCAUUACUUUCUAUUUUGAAUUAUUUAAAGAAUUUUAUAUCAGCAGCUAUAAUACAUGGGACUCUGAGGGGCCUAAUAUGUAACAACUAUCUCGGUUCUAUCGGAGUUCUGAAUCAUAUAAGAAAUGAACCUGACAAAUGGGAAUCAAAUACCCCUUGAAUCACUGUCAAGCCCCAAAUAUAGUUUCUGGCACUAAUUGCCCACUUUGUCACCAACAGUGGCACCCAGCAAAAUGUAUAGUACAAGAAAGCACUGUUUAGAGCUUCCUGUAGGCAGCUGACUGUGAAGUGGAAGGAGAUGACAAGAUCUGAGCUUUGAGUACCUGGUUUCUCCUGCUUACUUUUGGCAAUCUUUUUCAAUUAUGUAGUAAAGACUAGGAAAUGAGGUAAGGGAGGAAGGGGUUUAGUUACAGCCUCUUUUCAUGAAAAUCAAAACAUUCUUCACUAAUACAGCUCAGCUUUUUGGCCUUUUAAUCCAUUGGGACUAAUUAUUAAGUCCUAGUCACCCAAAGGUGUGUCUCCUUUGGAAAGGUGAUUAGUGCCCUACUAGGGAUUCCUAUUCCCAUUUUCCCUGAGGCAGAUUCUGAAAAAUCACACCCUUGCAAAUUUUACAGGAGUGCUCUUUCAGGUGAGUAUGUUGUAACAGAAGACUCAGGAACAUGUCUGGACAGUUAUUUAUUUAUUUAUUUUAUUUAAAGAGAGAAGAAAAAAAAAGAAAGGACAUUAAAAAAUGUAGUAAAAGGGUACAAAUGAUACAGUAUUUCAAGAAAAAAAUAUAUACAGUACAAAAUCACCAGUUAAUAGGUUACAUAUUAUCUUCCCAGAAACAGUUGUCCAUAUCACUAAAUUAAAGCAUAUAAAGUGGACAUUCAUACAAUGAAAUUGGAGAUGGACAGUUAUUUUUGAAGAUUCCAAGAUCAUCUGAAUUCUAGCCUGAAAUUUAACUCCCUAUUCUAUGCCCAUCUCGCAUGAUGCCAGGUACCGUGCUCCUCAAGAUAGCCAGCCUCUUCACUUGUGUGAGGAGGGCUGAAUGUCACUAGAAUGGCCACAGUUCCUUCCGGGCUCUGAUGCACCUUGAGGUUGAAGGGUUAGAAGUCAUGCAUAACGAUCACAGCACUGACUUUCAUGACAUCCUGAAAUGAAUGGCACAGUCACUCUGUGUAUUUAAGUAAUCGUAGGCAAAUUUACUUUGCUAUAUCCCAUUAAAGACUGUUGGCAAAACAGAGGAGCAGGAAUACCUAAAAACUCAAAGUAAGACCAGAAAAACCUCCAGGCGUGAUUCUCCAGAUCCAAGGCAGUUUAAGCUAGUUGUCUGGUAUCCCUGACCUGCAAACAGUAGGUGGAACCCUCUUUCUUGAGAGAUUCAUCAUACCUGGGCAACCAAGAGUCAUCUAUGUGUAGGAACCUUCUACCAAAGGAAAACAUGGAUGGCAUCUUGAAAUUUAAAAAAAAAACUGCCUUGUUGUCAUCACAGACAGGGCCAUCUUCAUUUAUCUUUGGAAGAAUAUUUUCAAAUUCACUACAUUUAGAAUCCUUUCACUUCCUCUGAACCCUAGGAAUCUGUUCUAAGAAGACUUCUCCUCCCUGCCAUUCCAAGCAGGAUUUUUGGUCAUGAACAUCUGCCGUGUGCUCUUCAAACCUUCUGGUGUUUCAGGCCUUAUUUGAAAUACCAAGAGCAGUGGAGUUUAUUUAAUUAGGCAAAUGAGGGAUAAUAGGGACUUGGAUCCAGGUGGCUGUGUUGGAAAGAGUCUAAAGGCAUUCUGAUGAUAGAGUAGCCGUAAUUUGAUGACAGAUUUGAUGUAUGGUGGGGGAAAGAAAAUAAAAGUCAAAAAAAUUUGUGUUUUUGGCCCAGGUUACCAGAAAAAGUAAAAUUGCCACCUACAAAAUGAAGUAUCACCUGAGAACUUCCCAGGAUUUAUAAAUGUUUCUGGUUUUAUUAUUCAGAGGCUUUGCAAGCACUUGAUACAUCUGUUUCAAUAUUCAUACCAUAGUUUCUCUACCUGGAACUACGUCAAGACAAAUCUUGGUAGCAUCUAGCUAUCAACUCACUCUAGAGUAGUAAGCUAUUAACUGUUUGUGUACCCUAGACUCUGGGGAUAUCUAGUGCAUCUUUGGUACCAUUUUGUUAAAAAACUUUUUAAAUGCAUAAAAUAAAGCACAUAUAUAUUAUAAAACCAAUAAAAUUAAAAAUUAACAGA